UAUAAAAAUCUAUUGCUGUGCGUUAGUCUCGCUAAAACUCGAGAAUGUGUGGACCGAUUUGGCUAAUUUUGAUGUUGAAUUAUUUGUGGAAGUUCAGGGAAGGUUUAUACGGUUUUAUAUUGUCAUUUUAUUAGCCACCAAAAUUUUUACAGCUAUAUGUAUAAAAUGCUCUUUUUACAGUGUUUGUUGCCAUACUCCUCCGAAACGACUUGACCGAUUUUUAUGAAAGUUUGCAAGUGUACUCGACCGGACCGGGAGUGGGUCGUUAUCUAUAUUUCAUACCCGUGCGUCUUAAGGGGGCUUGCCACCCUUAUAUUUAUGCCUAUUUUUUCAGACAAACUCUUUUUUUUUAAUUGCAUAUGAUGUGGAACGUAAAGAUACAUACAACCCUAAAUUUUCACUUUUCUAUCACUAACCGUUAUUUUUUAAUGGCCAUUUAAAUAUUUUACAUCUAUAUAAACAAAAGAAAGUCGUUAUAGUUACCAACACAUAACUCGAGAACGACUGAAUAGAUUUUUAUGAAAUUUUCCACGUGUAUUUGACCGGACCGAGAAUAGGUUGUUAUGUAUUUUUCAUAUCCGUACGUUGUAACGGGGGCUGCCCCCCUAAAAUAUUUUUUUAUUGUUUUGAUCAAACUGUUUUUUCUUAAUUUUAUGUGAUGUGGAAGGCAAAGGUAAAUACAACCCUAAAUUUUCACUUUUCUAUCUUCGACCGUUAUUUUUUAAUAGCCAUCUAAAGUUUUGCAUCUUAUAUAUAAAAAUCUAUUGCUGUGCGUUAGUCUCGCUAAAACUCGAGAAUGUGUGGACCGAUUUGGCUAAUUUUGAUGUUGAAUUAUUUGUGGAAGUUCAGGGAAGGUUUAUACGGUUUUAUAUUGUCAUUUUAUUAGCCACCAAAAUUUUUACAGCUAUAUGUAUAAAAUGCUCUUUUUACAGUGUUUGUUGCCAUACUCCUCCGAAACGACUUGACCGAUUUUUAUGAAAGUUUGCAAGUGUACUCGACCGGACCGGGAGUAGGUUUAGGUCUAUAUUUUAUACCUCUACGUCAUAAGAGGGUUGCGUGUGACGUCAUAACUCUCGCAAUAAGGACGUGAAAAAUACGAAAUUAAUUCGGUGUACUCCUUGCUGAACUCCGAACAGAACCUUACUAAAUUUUUUUUCUAGCUCAAUGGGUGUCCAAAACACAAUAUCUUAAGCCUUAGAAAUAUUCUGAGGACAGAAGAAGAACGAGCAACAAAUUUCAUCGAAGAAAAGUGCAACUGUUUAACUUUUGGACUUAAUUUGGGCAAAAUAUGAGUUUCUUAAUUUUUCGAAACUUUCAAAAAAUAUCUCUACCGAACUUUUCUGACGAACGGCAAGCAGAAGAAAAGUUCUGAGCACACGAAAAGAACAAGCAGCAAAUUAUAAAAUUUUAUUUAAUUUUAAUUAAUUUUGUUUCAUUUUAUUAAAUUUUAAUUAUUUUUAUUAGAUUCUAUUAUUUUUUUUAAUUUUAUUAUUUUUUUAAAUUUAUUUAUUAUUUUUAUUUAAGUUUAUUCAGUUUUAUUUAUUUUUAUUAACUUUUAUUCAAUUUUAUGAAAUUUUGUUUCAUUUUAUUUAAUGAUAUUUAAUUUUAAUUUAAUUUUAUUUUUCAACACCUAUAUAGUUGGACAACCCCGAACCCAAUUAUAAAUACAGGGUUGUUUUGAAUGUAAAUAAAAUAAAGCUGUUAUAUUCUUUAUAAGAAAAACAAAUUUAAGAUUGCAACUAUUGCACUGCAAACUUUUUCUAACUAAAUUUUAUUACUUCAAAUAUUAUGUGUAAUUCAUUAAAAAUAAUAAUAAAAACUCAUUCACAUCGAG